rnacentral:rRNA from 1 species
UACGUAGGGGGCAAGCGUUGUCCGGAUUUACUGGGCGUAAAGAGCGCGUAGGCGGAAGCUUAAGUGUGACCUGAAAGCCCCCGGCUCAACCGGGGAGGGUGGCUGCAAACUGGGCUUCUUGAGGGCGAUAGAGGAGAGUGGAAUUCCUGGUGUAGCGGUGAAAUGCGUAGAUAUCAGGAGGAACACCCGUGGCGAAGGCGGCUCUCUGGGCCGACCCUGACGCUGAGGCGCGAAAGCGUGGGGAGCGAACGGG